UUGAAGGCUGAAAUUCGCCUUCAUGAAGCCGGAAUUGCUAGUAAUGGCAGGUCAGCAUACUGCCGUGAAUACGUUCCCGGGCCUUGUACACACCGCCCGUCACACCAUGAGAGUUGGGGAUACCCGAAGCCUGUGAGCCAACUUUUUAAGAGGCAGCAGUCGAAGGUAGAAUCAAUGAUUGGGGUGAAGUCGUAACAAGGUAAC
rnacentral:rRNA from 1 species